CAGAGGCCCCAAGCGUUACUGAGAAUCACUGGGUUUAAAGGGUGCGUAGGUGGCGCGUUAAGUCCGUUGUGAAAGCCCUGGGCUCAACCCAGGAACUGCUUCGGAUACUGGCGCGCUUGAGGCUAGUAGGGGUCACUGGAACUGACGGUGGAGCGGUGAAAUGCGUAGAUAUCGUCAGGAACGCCAAUGGUGAAGACAGGUGACUGGGCUAGUUCUGACACUGAGGCACGAAAGCGUGGGGAGCGAACGGGAUUAGAUACCCCGGUAGUCCACGCCCUAAACGAUGCAGACUAGACUGCAGCGGGUUACACCCCGUUGCGGUCGGAGCGAAAUUGUAAGUCUGCCACCUGGGAAGUACGGUCGCAAGGCUA
rnacentral:rRNA from 1 species